GUAUCUCUGGCUUCUAAAGCCACAGGGAAGCAGAGAAACAAAAUGGACAGAAUGGACGGAAUUCCUACUCAUGCGUCACUCUUGUGAGUUUGUUUGUUCUCAACUGGGAGAAGACAGAAGAUGGCCUCCAUGACAACCAGUUAUCGCUGCCCCUGUGGAACAAACACAGACCUUGAAAGAGAUAUUGAUGAGCGUGCACACUGUCAGGAACACAAAAAUCGGAAGAUCCCACUGGGCACUGCUCCUCUCCACUGGAAGGCCACUGUUCCUCCAGAGAUACCAGCGUGAGCUUACCUCCGGGAACUCAGAAGAGUCCAUGGAGGAACACUGAUUACUGGCUUGCCCCUCACGGCUUGUUCAGCUUGUUUUCUUAUACCACCUAGGACCACCUGCCCAGGGGCAGCACCAUCCACAGUGAGCUGGGCCCUCCCAUAUAAAUCGUCAAUCAAGAAAAGGCCCUGCAACGUUUGUCCAAAGGCCAAUCUCAUGGAGGAAUUUUCUCAAAUAAGGUUCUCUCCUUUGAAAUGAUCUGAGCUUGUGUCAACAAUGAACUAACACACUGCACAAGUCUUAAAACUGUUAAUAA